UACGUAGGGGGCUAGCGUUGUCCGGAUUUAUUGGGCGUAAAGAGCGUGUAAGCGGCCAGGUAGGUCUGGUGUGAAAACUCGAGGCUUAACCUCGAGAUGUCAUCGGAAACCAUCUGGCUAGAGUCCGGAAGAGGAGAGUGGAAUUCCUGGUGUAGCGGUGAAAUGCGCAGAUAUCAGGAAGAACACCAAUGGCGAAAGCAGCUCUCUGGGACGGUACUGACGCUGAGACGCGAAAGCGUGGGGAGCGAACAGG
rnacentral:rRNA from 1 species